rnacentral:rRNA from 1 species
CCCUUAGAUGUUCUGGGCCGCACGCGCGCUACACUGAUGCAUUCAACGAGUCUAAAACCUGGUCUGAUAGGGCUGGGUAAUCUUUUGAAUGUGCAUCGUGAUUGGGAUAGAUGAUUGCAAUUUUUCAUCUUCAACGAGGAAUGCCUAGUAAACGCAAGUCAUCAGCUUGCAUUGAUUACGUCCCUGCCCUUUGUACACACCGCCCGUCGCUCCUACCGAUUGAAUGAUCCGAUGAAUAUCAUGGAUUGAGGAUGCAAGUAGGUUCGCCUAUCUUCAUCUUCGAGAAGUGAAGUAAAUCUUAUCAUUUAGAGGAAGGAGAAGUCGUAACA